UACGUAGGGGUCGAGCGUUGUCCGGACUUACUGGGCGUAAAGCGUGGGUAGGUGGCCACUGAUGUGCCGUGUGAAAGCGCCGCGCUUCUCGCGGCGAGGUCGCGGUAGACACAGUGGCUCGAGGCACGGAGAGGGGCGUAGAAUUCCCGGUGUAGUGGUGAAAUGCGCAGAUAUCAGGAAGAACACCCGUGGCGAAAGCGGCUCUCUGGAACGGUACUGACGCUGAGACGCGAAAGCGUGGGGAGCGAACAGG
rnacentral:rRNA from 1 species